rnacentral:snoRNA from 1 species
UCAAUCAGAUGAUGAGACUCAGAAAAUCUUAGGACACCUUCCUACACAGUUAUAAAAUAACUGUGGAUGAGAAAGACUUUCUAUCUCUGAUGAUAAG